AUUGAACGCAGGCGGCAUGCUUUACACAUGCAAGUCGGACGGCAGCAUAAAAGAGCUUGCUCUUUUGAUGGCGAGUGGCGAACGGGUGAGUAAUGCAUCGGAACGUACCGAGUAGUGGGGGAUAACUGUCCGAAAGGAUGGCUAAUACCGCAUAUUCUCUGAGGAGGAAAGCAGGGGACCUUAGGGCCUUGCGCUAUUUGAGCGGCCGAUGUCUGAUUAGCUAGUUGGUGGGGUAAGAGCCCACCAAGGCGACGAUCAGUAGCGGGUCUGAGAGGAUGAUCCGCCACACUGGGACUGAGACACGGCCCAGACUCCUACGGGAGGCAGCAGUGGGGAAUUUCGGACAAUGGGCGCAAGCCUGAUCCAGCCAUGCCGCGUGUAUGAAGAAGGCCUUCGGGUUGUAAAGUACUUUUGUCAGGGAAGAAAAGCCUGAGGAUAACACCCUCAGGUCAUGACGGUACCUGAAGAAUAAGCACCGGCUAACUACGUGCCAGCAGCCGCGGUAAUACGUAGGGUGCGAGCGUUAAUCGGAAUUACUGGGCGUAAAGCGAGCGCAGACGGUUAUUUAAGCAAGAUGUGAAAGCCCCGGGCUCAACCUGGGAACUGCGUUUUGAACUGGGUAACUAGAGUGUGUCAGAGGGGGGUAGAAUUCCACGUGUAGCAGUGAAAUGCGUAGAGAUGUGGAGGAAUACCGAUGGCGAAGGCAGCCCCCUGGGAUAACACUGACGUUCAUGCUCGAAAGCGUGGGUAGCAAACAGG
rnacentral:rRNA from 1 species